ensembl:lncRNA
UAAAAAAAAAAAAACCUGGAGAACUAAAAUGCGUUACAAUUUUGCGCCGUCUUUUCCCAUUCGCUACUGAAACGGAAAGUAAAAAUGACGUCACCGGUCCGACCGGAAACGCGGAAGAGCUGUCAGCCAGGCAGUGGCUUUAACGGAGGACACAUCUGAGGUCGUUUUAGGCCUUUUUUUAAAACUACAUUCAUCGAACAGACUUUAUUUAAAGACAGUUUAACGCUAGAGCGCUGUUUUGGGUGAGUUUGUGUCGCUUUAGUUCACUAAGAUAUCGAUAUAGCUCAUAUUUUUCCUCAGGCCUCGAAUUUCCUCCUGCGAUAAAAGACUGUAAUCGACAUUUUUUUUCAGUUUCUCAGGUAGAAGCUGUGCCGUAACUGGUCUGUGAGGAGUCUACAACCGUCAUCAUGAGUAAUUUUGGGGACGAUAGUGAUUCUGAAGUGGAUCGGAUCAUGACGGACCGGCCGCCCAGCAGUUAUGGCUCCAUGCAUAGUGAUCAUGAAGAUGAAGAGGAUGAUGAAUUUGAAGAACCUCCGCUCAAACUACCAGCGACAAGGGUCAGGCUUCACCGCUCCGAUUCGCCGGAGACUGCGAUUACUGAACGUACGAACACAAACCAGUCGAGCGUAUACAACGAUGGACUGGUCCUGAAACCACAGUCCUUCUUGUACGCACCAGAAUCUCUCGCCCGAUACAGGUAACUACAUCCACACACACA